ACCGUACUAGCUUCCUGACAAUCGACCAAAAGUUUCCCUCCACCUCCAUUUCGGUUCCCCAUAAAAGCAACGACAGAGUUUCCAAAACUUUCGUCCCUAGCUCCACCGCCGACAAUGCCGCUUGUCUUUUCGUCCGUUUCGCUGAAUCUUUAGGCUCUAUCCUGCAAAGUGUCUUCGCUCGUGGUCCAUGUACCAGCUACCUUUGCCCUCUGCCAUUUCCAACUCUCUUAUCUCUUGGGCGAAAUUUGCCCUAUCUUUUGAAGGGACUUGGGUUUGUCUUGUGGACCGGUUUCCACUACAAAAUCAACAUGCGCAAACGGAGGUAAACCACCAAUCUCUGUAAGCGUCACACGUCAACUUCCAACUCUGAGCACCGACGCCCUGCAUAUAAAUCGGCAACCACGUGACCGAAGACGCGCUCCUUCCAUCGUUAUUUCUUAUGCUCGUGCAAGUUACAUCCUUGGCAGCACCCCAUGGAGGAGGUUGAAAUCCAACGAGAUCAUGACCUAUGGAGCAAAGGCUUAGAGGAUAUCUUCAUAGAUAUGGUGUAUGAAGAAAUCAUUAAUGGAACACUGAAGGGAGGUAAAAUCACUAAUAAAGACCAUAUGAGACUUGCUAAACAGAUUACUGCCGUUGGUAUGAAGGUAAUUGAUUCAGCACAAGUGAAGGCCAAACUUGUAUGCCUAAAGGCUAAACAACAGCUAUUCACUGAUCUCAUGGGUCAACUGGAAUGGGUUGGAACCCCAAGACCAACACUAUGAUUGGCAGCACGGAAAAUUGGGCAAAUGCAUUGAAGGUGAAUCCAAGUUUUCAACAAUUUAAGACACAUGGAUGCCGGAAAUACGAUAUUCUCUGCACCAUAUUCGGUCAGGCUGUUGCCACAGGCAUCCUCCAUCAUGCCUCCACGCAAGAGCAACCAACUAGUGACGACAAGCCACCAACUAGUGAUGAAGAGCAGCACCUUCAGGAGUUGUCCAUUGAUGUGGAUGACAUGGACGUGUCCUUCUGAUCAGGGAGACAAUCAUCAAGCACGUCUGCUCGUAACUCACACUGACAACAGAGGGCAGGGACCUCGAUGCAAUUACCACCAGUGAUUAGCGAGUGUCUGGAUGCAAUUGCUAGCUGUGCUGCAGUGAGGGCUAACUUGGAUGAAUUAUUGUACAAGAAAAUGAAAGGGAAGCGCUCUAAAGUCGAAAAGAGUUGCGAGUCUGCUGCUGGUUUUGAUCGCCGCUCGCGCUGCGUCCGAUUGUUGGAUGAGAUUACACCCUCCCUGACAACUGAGCAAUAUAACCUAGCGAGGAAACGAUUACUUGAUUGGGCAGUUCAAAAUGGCUUCCUUGCAUUGUCUGAACGUCGCAGGAGUCAAUGGGUUUGGAGUUUGCAUUGAGUUGGCAGACAAUUACUCAGCAGUGCUAUAAUUUCAAGCUUAUCAUUCAAAGCGAUAAGCAUAAGUUUCCUAACAUUUCUUUUGUACUAGCUGUAUCACUUUAUAGUUACGGAAUUUGCAUGUUUGCUCAUGUUUUUUCAUCCUAACUCUGUUAUUUAUGAUGUUCCAUGGAUAUCGGUUUAAUGGUAAUUUACGGCUUAUCUCA